ACUCCUGCGUGAGCGUCGAACACCCCAAACCACAUUCAACCAGACAAUUCUAUAGAAAAAUCAAGCCAGCUUAUAUCCUGCUGGCGCCUCUCCCAGCUUCACCAUCACUUUCCCCGUGUUCAACCCCCUCGUCAAG
rnacentral:ribozyme from 1 species